CAGUCGCCGCGGUAAUACGAAGGGGGCUAGCGUUGUUCGGAAUUACUGGGCGUAAAGCGCACGUAGGCGGCUUUGUAAGUCAGAGGUGAAAGCCUGAAGCUCAACUCCAGAACUGCCUUUGAGACUGCAUCGCUUGAAUCCAGGAGAGGUGAGUGGAAUUCCGAGUGUAGAGGUGAAAUUCGUAGAUAUUCGGAAGAACACCAGUGGCGAAGGCGGCUCACUGGACUGGUAUUGACGCUGAGGUGCGAAAGCGUGGGGAGCAAACAGGAUUAGAUACCCCAGUAGUCCCUGUCUCUUAUAC
rnacentral:rRNA from 1 species